GCCAAUUGUGAUAACUUGUCCAUCAGGAAGCUCAUAGCUUUUCUCAAUUGAAGAACCAGUCUUGGCAGUCUCGAGUUCUUGUUCAUAAUCGAGGGCAAUAUAUGCAAGCUUCUCCUUCAUAUCACGAACAAUUUCUCGCUCAGCAGAGGUGGUGAACAUGUACCCUCUCUCAGUGAGGAUCUUCAUCAGUGAAUCAGUCAGAUCACGACCAGCAAGAUCCAACCGAAGGAUGGCAUGGGGGAGUGCAUACCCCUCAUAGAUUGGUACAAGAGAGGACAGCCUGGAUGGCAACAUACAUGGCAGGCACACUGAAGGUCUCAAACAUGAUUUGGGUCAUCUUUUCUCUGUUGGCCUUUGGGUU